rnacentral:rRNA from 1 species
UAUAAUGGGUCAGCGACUUAUAUUCAGUGGCAAGGUUAACCAUCUAGGGGAGCCGUAGGGAAACCGAGUCUUAACUGGGCGCCAUAGUCUCUGGAUAUAGACCCGAAACCGAGUGAUCUAGCCAUGGGCAGGUUGAAGGUUGAGUAACAUCAACUGGAGGACCGAACCGACUAAUGUUGAAAAAUUAGCGGAUGACUUGUGGCUAGGGGUGAAAGGCCAAUCAAACUCGGAGAUAGCUGGUUCUCCCCGAAAGCUAUUUAGGUAGCGCCUCGGACGAAUACUACUGGGGGUAGAGCACUGUUAAGGCUAGGGGGUCAUCCCGACUUACCAACCCUUUGCAAACUCCGAAUACCAGUAAGUACUAUCCGGGAGACACACGGCGGGUGCUAACGUCCGUCGUGGAGAGGGAAACAACCCAGACCGCCAGCUAAGGUCCCAAAUUACAGCUAAGUGGGAAACGAUGUGGGAAGGCUUAGACAGCUAGGAUGUUGGCUUAGAAGCAGCCAUCAUUUAAAGAAAGCGUAAUAGCUCACUAGUCGAGUCGGCCUGCGCGGAAGAUGUAACGGGGCUAAGUUGUAAACCGAAGCUGCGGCAAUGUUCUUUGAACAUUGGGUAGGGGAGCGUUCUGUAAGCCGUUGAAGGUGUGUUGUAAAGCAUGCUGGAGGUAUCAGAAGUGCGAAUGCUGACAUGAGUAACGACAAGGGGGGUGAAAAACCUCCCCGCCGGAAGACCAAGGGUUCCUGUCCAACGUUAAUCGGGGCAGGGUAAGUCGACCCCUAAGGCGAGGCCGAAAGGCGUAGUCGAU